GAUGAACGCUGGCGGCGUGCCUAACACAUGCAAGUCGAACGAGGCAAAUAAGUUGAAGUUUUCGGAUGGAUUCUUAUUUACCGAGUGGCGGACGGGUGAGUAACGCGUGGGUAACCUGCCUCAUACAGGGGGAUAACGGUUAGAAAUGACUGCUAAUACCGCAUAAGCGCACAGUACCGCAUGGUACGGUGUGAAAAACUCCGGUGGUAUGAGAUGGACCCGCGUCUGAUUAGCUAGUUGGUAAGGUAACGGCCCACCAAGGCGACGAUCAGUAGCCGACCUGAGAGGGUGACCGGCCACAUUGGGACUGAGACACGGCCCAGACUCCUACGGGAGGCAGCAGUGGGGGAUAUUGCACAAUGGAGGAAACUCUGAUGCAGCGACGCCGCGUGAGUGAAGAAGUAUUUCGGUAUGUAAAGCUCUAUCAGCAGGGAAGAAAAUGACGGUACCUGACUAAGAAGCCCCGGCUAACUACGUGCCAGCAGCCGCGGUAAUACGUAGGGGGCAAGCGUUAUCCGGAUUUACUGGGUGUAAAGGGAGCGUAGACGGCGACGCAAGUCUGAAGUGAAAUACCCGGGCUCAACCUGGGAACUGCUUUGGAAACUGUGUUGCUAGAGUGCUGGAGAGGUAAGCGGAAUUCCUAGUGUAGCGGUGAAAUGCGUAGAUAUUAGGAAGAACACCAGUGGCGAAGGCGGCUUACUGGACAGUAACUGACGUUGAGGCUCGAAAGCGUGGGGAGCAAACAGG
rnacentral:rRNA from 1 species